rnacentral:rRNA from 1 species
GCCUAACACAUGCAAGUCGAGCGGAUGAGGAGAGCUUGCUCUCUGAUUCAGCGGCGGACGGGUGAGUAAUGCCUAGGAAUCUGCCUGGUAGUGGGGGACAACGUUUCGAAAGGAACGCUAAUACCGCAUACGUCCUACGGGAGAAAGUGGGGGAUCUUCGGACCUCACGCUAUCAGAUGAGCCUAGGUCGGAUUAGCUAGUUGGUGGGGUAACGGCUCACCAAGGCGACGAUCCGUAACUGGUCUGAGAGGAUGAUCAGUCACACUGGAACUGAGACACGGUCCAGACUCCUACGGGAGGCAGCAGUGGGGAAUAUUGGACAAUGGGCGAAAGCCUGAUCCAGCCAUGCCGCGUGUGUGAAGAAGGCCCUCGGGUCGUAAAGCACUUUAAGCUGGGAGGAAGGGUUGUAACCUAAUACGUUGCAGCUUUGACGUUACCAGCAGAAUAAGCACCGGCUAACUCUGUGCCAGCAGCCGCGGUAAUACAGAGGGUGCAAGCGUUAAUCGGAAUUACUGGGCGUAAAGCGCGCGUAGGUGGCUUGGUAAGUUGAAUGUGAAAUCCCCGGGCUCAACCUGGGAACUGCAUCCAAAACUGCCUGGCUAGAGUACGGUAGAGGGUGGUGGAAUUUCCUGUGUAGCGGUGAAAUGCGUAGAUAUAGGAAGGAACACCAGUGGCGAAGGCGACCACCUGGACUGAUACUG